rnacentral:rRNA from 1 species
CCUACGGGAGGCAGCAGUGGGGAAUAUUGCACAAUGGGGGUAACCCUGAUGCAGCGACGCCGCGUGAGCGAUGAAGUAUUUCGGUAUGUAAAGCUCUAUCAGCAGGGAAGAAAAUGACGGUACCUGACUAAGAAGCCCCGGCUAACUACGUGACAGCAGCCGCGGUAAUACGUAGGGGGCAAGCGUUAUCCGGAUUUCCUGGGUGUAAAGGGAGCGUAGACGGCGGUGCAAGUCAGAGGUGAAAGCCCGGGGCUCAACCACGGGACUGCAGUUGGAACUGUGCUGCUAGAGUGUCGGAGAGGCAGGCGGAAUUCCUAGUGUAGCGGUGAAAUGCGUAGAUAUUAGGAGGAACACCAGUGGCGAAGGCGGCCUGCUGGACGAUGACUGACGUUGAGGCUCGAAAGCGUGGGGAGCAAACAGGAUUAGAUACCCUGGUAGUC